rnacentral:rRNA from 1 species
AUGUGGUCCUAUCUUUGUCAGCGCUAUCAGCCCUCUGGCGAUGCUUUAUACCUCUCUGUGGUGCGUCAGGAGCAUGCUCUUCAGCAGGGUGACUCAUCUGUUGAUGAGUUCUAUUCACAGUGCUCUGCCAUCUGGCGUCAGCUUGACUCACUGCGGACAGUUGUUUGUGGCACUUGCCGUUGUUGUCAGACUACGCGGUCUGACUUGGAGUUUCAGAGGGUUCAUGAGUUCUUAUCUCGUCUCCGCUCUGAGUUUGAGCCCAGGCGUGCUCACCUGCUUGCUCGUGGUCGUGUUCCUAUCUCGGAGGUGCUUGCCGAGCUUCGUGCUGAGGAGAAACGCCUUCGCUCUGCUGGGUUGCUUCUGGUUCCGUCAGUGUUGGCUGCCCGGGCUCCUGUGUCGUCUGCUCUCCUCACUGCUCCGCCGUUCCUGCCUACUCCUCCAGGGGGGGAGCCGUCCUUCUUAUGCUAA